CCAGGCCAAAGGAGCCCCCAUAGCCCCGGGAGCCCCCAUAGCCCCCAAGGGAGCCCCCAUAGCCUGAGAAACCCCCAUAGCCCUGGGAGCCCCCAUAGCCCCCAUAACUUCCUAACCCAAAGGAACCCCUAUAACCACGGGAGCCCCCGUAUCCAAGGAAGCUCCCAUAGCUUUGGGAACCUCCAUAAGGUCCCCACCCAAAGAAGCCCAAAUUGCCCCGGGAGCCCCCAUAACCUCCAGACCCAAAGGAGCCCCCAUAGCCGAGGGAGCUCCCAUAACCUCCAGAACCAAAGGAGCCCCCAUAGCCAAGGGAGCCCCCAUAACCUCCAGAACCAAAGGAGCCCUCAUAGCCCUGGGAGCUGCGGGAACUGAAGGAACGUCCCGGCAAGGCUGGGCCCGACGAUCCCACAACGCUCUCCUGAGGGCAGGUGCUGAGCACGGGGCCUGGGAUGGUCACCACCACUGGUGGGGGCAGGAUCAGGGCUCUGGAGUCGGGGCACUGCUGCACACACGGCUCGUUGGAGCUCUCGGCGAUGGGCUGGGGGCAGCUGAUGCCGCAGGACUCGUUGGAGUAGGACAUCCUUCUGUGCUGGGGAGUGGCAGUGCAAAGCCAGCAGAAUUAAAUCCCUCCAUGUGAGGGUUGUUCUGUGUGGGACUGAAGGCACGGAGGGCGUUUUGUCCUUGUAAGCACUUUGGGAAAUGUAUAAAAGCUGCCACCACUCCAAGCCUCUCCAUCCACUUCUCCUGAGUUAUUCGCCUUGGUGAACAGGGUAAGUCGGAUUUGAGCUCCUCUAUCCUUCUCUAUCCUUCCUUUUCCUCAUCCAAUUCUUUGAUGUUAUGGAUUGGUAGAUUUAAAAAUUGUGGGUCUGAGAAGGCUGUCGUAGAAUAAAAUGUGAAUUUUCACCA
rnacentral:lncRNA from 1 species